AAGGCACACAUAACCCAAAGAUUACCGCUUUACCAUGUAGUAAUCUUGUCUCGUGUGCCCAGAGUAAGGUUGUACCUUGUCGCCUUUCAGGAGCUGAAGUGCUUGUGAAAGUGAAACUGAAGGUUCUACAUUA